UUAAGGGAGGCUGAUCCCGGGUGCACUGUGGCAGGUGGCAGUAUAGAUUUUUGUGAAGCAGCAGUGUGCUGUGAUAUGAGUAGCAGAUGAAGAAGGAAGGAAAUGAAGUCACUCAAUUCUUAUAUGGCAUAAUUACUCUUAUAUUUGGAAUCAACAUGUGGAAUUUCUAGAGUUUCUCUAGUUAAGAAAUUUGAAAAUGGCCUGACUAGAUUAUUUUGGCUUGAGGACUCUCAGGAGAUUCACUUCAGAUUUUGUUCAUUACUGCAACCAUUUGAAGGCUUUAUUGCAGAUAGAGAAUACUCUUCCAAAGUGCCUUAAUUACAUGAUGGACUAAUCGGUGCCGGCAGUUAUCAGAAGUCCUCAGA
rnacentral:lncRNA from 10 species